rnacentral:rRNA from 1 species
UACAGAGGGUGCAAGCGUUGUUCGGAAUUAUUGGGCGUAAAGGGAGUGUAGGCGGUUUGCUAAGUCUUCUGUGAAAUCUACGGGCUCAGCCUGUAACGUGCAGAGGAAACUGACAGACUUGAGUGUCGGAGAGGAUAGUGGAAUUCCCGGUGUAGAGGUGAAAUUCGUAGAGAUCGGGAGGAACACCAGUGGCGAAGGCGACUAUCUGGCUGACAACUGACGCUGAGACUCGAAAGCAUGGGGAGCAAACAGG